AUGCUCACUUCAGAAGCACAUGUACUUAAACUGGAUAUUGAGGCAAUUAGUGUGGUCCCUAGACAAGGAUGACAUGCACAUUCAUUAAGUGUCUCAUAUUUUU
rnacentral:snRNA from 1 species